rnacentral:rRNA from 1 species
ACUCCUACGGGAGGCAGCAGUGGGGAAUAUUGCACAAUGGGCGCAAGCCUGAUGCAGCCAUGCCGCGUGUGUGAAGAAGGCCUUCGGGUUGUAAAGCACUUUCAGUCGUGAGGAAGGCGGGUACGUUAAUAGCGUAUUCGUUUGACGUUAGCGACAGAAGAAGCACCGGCUAACUCCGUGCCAGCAGCCGCGGUAAUACGGAGGGUGCGAGCGUUAAUCGGAAUUACUGGGCGUAAAGCGCAUGCAGGUGGUUUGUUAAGUCAGAUGUGAAAGCCCGGGGCUCAACCUCGGAAUAGCAUUUGAAACUGGCAGACUAGAGUACUGUAGAGGGGGUUAGAAUUUCAGGUGUAGCGGUGAAAUGCGUAGAGAUCUGAAGGAAUACCGGUGGCGAACGGCGGCCCCCUGGACAGAUACUGACACUCAGAUGCGAAAGCGUGGGAGCAAACAGGAUUAGAUACCCCGUGGUAGGACAGUG